CGGAGGAAAAGAAACUAACAAGGAUUCCCCUAGUAACGGCGAGUGAAGAGGGAAGAGCUCAAAUUUUAAAUCUGCCUUGUUCCAAGGUCGAGUUGUAAUUUGAAGAAGCGUUUUCUUGGGCUCGCGGCCGGUAGAAGUUCUUUGGAACAGGACAUCAUAGAGGGUGACAAUCCCGUCCGUGACCGGUCGUGCGUUCAUCUACGAUACGCUUUCAAAGAGUCGAGUUGUUUGGGAUUGCAGCUCCAAACGGGUGGUAAACAUCACCUAAGGCUAAAUAUUGGCGAGAGACCGAUAGCGAACAAGUACCGUGAGGGAAAGAUGAAAAGAACUUUGAAAAGAGAGUUAAACAGUACGUGAAAUUGUUGAAAGGGAAACGAUUGAAGUCAGUCGUGCUGGCGCGAAAUCAACCCUCUCGUCUUGAGAUCACAUGGCGCGACGAGCCUCAAAACCGUCACGAAGCGUGAACUCUUGACGAAAAGGUGCACUUUCGUGUCCGCUGGUUAACAUCAAUUUCGAACGUCAUAAAAAGGCUGGAGGGAUGUGGCUCCUUCGGGAGUGUUAUAACCUUUAGCGGAAUGUGGCGUUCGGGAUUGAGGAUUGCAACGAAUACCUUCAGGGCUGUUCCACCUGGCUUCUCAUUGGUAUCCUGGUGACGACAGCUUGCUGACGUCGUUAGGAUCAGCUUCUGAACAGGCUAGAGUGUGAGCAAAUUCGUUAAGGAUGUUAACGUAAUGGCUUUAAACGACCCGUCUUG
rnacentral:rRNA from 1 species